CAUACCAUUGCGGGUGGUGAAGCAGAGGGAGAGGAGGCCCUCGGGGGGUUAUAUCAUACUCAUAGUCAUUGAGUUCACUCUAUCAGGCCAAUUGAGUGAACUCAAUGAAACCCAGGAAGUUAACCAAAAGCUAGUACUUAGCCUACGGCUAAGUACAACAAGAAGGUCCAAGGGAUUUGCUAUUCUAUAGCCAAUCCCUUGGGGACUCAGGGGUUUCUAAAUGAAUAGAGUGAAACCCACUAAAUGGCCAAAAUAGGGCCAUUUAGUGGACUCAAGAAACUCAAGUUUACCCGUAC
rnacentral:lncRNA from 1 species